rnacentral:rRNA from 1 species
AACGAACGCUGGCGGCAGGCUUAACACAUGCAAGUCGAGCGCAUCCUUCGGGGUGAGCGGCGGACGGGUGAGUAACGCGUGGGAACGUGCCCUCUUCUACGGAAUAGCCUCGGGAAACUGAGAGUAAUGCCGUAUACGCCCGCAAGGGGAAAGAUUUAUCGGAGGAGGAUCGGCCCGCGUUGGAUUAGGUAGUUGGCGGGGUAACGGCCUACCAAGCCGACGAUCCAUAGCUGGUUUGAGAGGAUGAUCAGCCACACUGGGACUGAGACACGGCCCAGACUCCUACGGGAGGCAGCAGUGGGGAAUCUUGGACAAUGGGGGCAACCCUGAUCCAGCCAUGCCGCGUGAUCGAUGAAGGCCUUAGGGUUGUAAAGAUCCUUCAGCUGGGAAGAUAAUGACGGUACCAGCAGAAGAAGCCCCGGCUAACUCCGUG